CUGGCAAUUUUGAUAAUCAGAAAAACUACUUUAUCAAUAAAUCAUACUAUCUAUCCUAAGAAAACUCCUAUAGAAAACAUGAUGAGAUACUAAGAAGUGGGAGAAGAAAUCUCCAGCUAUAUAUGGAAUGCCUGUUGAAAAAAUUUAGUCACACGGGAACAUGAUGUUUGAAACAUUGAAGAUCUGAUAGAAACAAAGAAUACGGAUCUUGAACCUAAGACCCACUUUUUAAACAUGAGUAUUGGAUGAAAGAAUGUUCAUGCAGUAUGGCUGAACCAUCAAAGAAAGUGUGAUUCUGCUGGAUUUUCUCUUCAAGUAUUAUUAGAGAUUUUAGGAGCCCUAGGAAUCAAUUCCUCUUACAGAACUACUUCCAAUGGAAAAUGAAAACAUGACCAUAUGGAUGGAUGCCCCCAAUUUUCACCUUCAAAUUUCCUUAAAAUCAGUUCAGAAAUGUGAUAAAACAAGUCUGUGUUACUACUAGAAAACAUUUUUUUUAACUGUCCCAUACAAGUGCCAGAUAUUUGGAGGCAAUUCUAUGAAUACUGAAAAAGGACUCGAGACUGGAAUUUCCAUUACACAAAUAAAAUGCCAAAAUGAGGAGUAAGUGGAGGAGCCCCCAGCAGAACUAUACUCAGACCUCAUACUCAAGAGAAGCAAAUGAACU